CAAUAGCGUAUAUUUAAGUUGUUGCAGUUAAAAAGCUCGUAGUUGGAUUUCGGGUGGGACGCAGCGGUCUCGCAUUGCGUUUGUACUGCUGCAGCCCUCCUUCUUGCCGGGGGCGGCCUCUCGGACUUCACUGUCUGGGGGUCAGAAUCGGCGAUGUUACUUUGAGUAAAUUAGAGUGUUCAAAGCAAGCUUACGCUCUGAAUAUAAUAGCAUGGGAUAACACGACAGGACUCUGGCCUAUCGUGUUGGUCUAUAGGACCAGAGUAAUGAUUAAGAGGGACAGUCGGGGGCAUUCGUAUUUCGUUGUCAGAGGUGAAAUUCUUGGAUUUACGGAAGACGAACAUCUGCGAAAGCAUUUGCCAAGGAUGUUUUCAUUGA
rnacentral:rRNA from 1 species